AGGUAUUCCACUGAUUGCAUUGGGAAAUAUAUGUUAGACAAAUGCAAAAUGAAUGUCUUUUACUUUAUUUGAAGUGCAAACAACUAGGCCAGUUACCAUUAUUUAGGAUAAAUGUAUAUUAUAUAGAAUUUAUUUUUUGAACAUUUUUUACAUUCUUGAAUAAUUUAGUGCAUCCUGGGUCAAAUAUUUAAAGACACUCUAUAACAGAGACGGCCCACUUCUAGUCCUAAUUAAGAAACUACCACCUUCUAAAAUAGAGCCAAAUUAACGUUUUGAUGACCUUGGCUGAAUCCAAAAUCGCAAACUUUCCAACAAUUUAGUAGGUGAAAAACAGUAUUUGCCAAGAAUGUAUGUCUGACUUCACAGUAUUCAUUAAAGAUGGGCAAAAAAUCCAGGGUCAACUACUAUUUCUGAUGUAGUAGGUCCAGUGUUGUUUUGGUCCCUUCUGACCUUUGAUCUCCAAAUGUCUUAUUUUGUGUUCCAUGGAACAAAAAUAAGUCACACAGAUUUGGGGGAACCCUUUAAAAUAAACUGUGGCACAAUGCAUACUAUUCUUUCCCCUCUCUCUUUUUUGCAUAUGGGUUAAAUCUACACGACUACUUUAAAAGUGAGUUCGGAAACACGGUUAACGUGUGUCGAUUUAUGCGUUGAGGGAGAGAACAGAGUCAUCUCUGUUAAAGUACAUCAGGGGCAUUGCGAUCUCUCUCCUGCUGUCCAUAAAGCCUACCGCUCAGAUUGUAAAAUGGCCUUUCACAAGAUGACACAGGAAGCACUCCCUAGCUGAGGCUCAGCCGUUCCCCACCGACCACAAAUCACUGCGCACCAUUCAGCUAAGCUGACAAACCCUCUCUGGGUCAGAACUGGUAGAGUAACAGCUGGUUUUGAAUUUAAAGGUGCAGUAAUAUAUUCACAGAUUUUAUGGAUGGUUGAAGAUCAGUGAUUUGUUGAAAUGCAAUUGUCUACUGUCUUCGCUGGUGGUCACGGGCUAACAGGUCAGUGUGGUCUCAGAGGAAGAGCACCGCUGACAGUCAAAUCCAGUGUGCAGGUCUGCUUCAGUUCAUGUGUCUCACUCUGUCAGGACUUCACAUGCUAAUCAAAAACAUGUUCAAUUUCAGUCUGUUCAUGGCCUGAGGAAACAUGUUGUAGGACCACGGCAUGAAAGGCCUUUUCUUGUGCCUUUUUUACCAUCGUCUGUGGAAGGCUGCAAACCUUGUUAUUGGUUCCUAAGUGGUCUUUUGACUUUUUGAACUUAGAUAAGAUGCUGUUGGUGAAAACAUUUAAUUAGUUCUAGAUUUUUAUUUAUAGUUUUCCAUUUUUAGAUAUUUUAAGGAAGCCUAUUCUUAAUUUUGCUUUGCUAAUAUGUUUAAAAUAUAUUUAAUUUAUAGAAUAUAUAGAAUAUACUCCCCCCAUGCUCAAGUACACCAGUCGUCUUGAUCAAUUAUGGUCAUUAUGAUCACUCAUCUGCAAUUUUGUUUUUGUUUAUAUUUUAAAUAAACGCUGACUCGUGAUUUGUUGUUCAUACACUCAUUCAAAAAGGCAUUAGCUGGUCGCCAGCUACUGGUGUAGUGAUGUAACCUACAUGAAGAUUAUUUUUAGUGAACUUGUUCAAAAGAUUCAUAUCGACUGGAUGAACCAAAAUAAUGGUAAUGGACACAGUAUUCGACUCCCUCGUGUGGCGAAUCAGUUUUUGAUUCAGACUACAAGGCUAUCUGAUCACGGUGCAGCAUGAAAGCUAGCAGUUAAAACGGAUUUUGUAUGGCUCGAGACUGAAGAAAACAUGACAACAUCACCGGAACACAGGAAAUACCAUCUUAUUAUCCAGGUUUUUGAGCUAUAUGUCCACACAUGACCUCUCGUAUAAAGGCCAGUGCUGUGAAGAUAAGUUGGGACCUGAUCCAAGGCGUCUGAGAACCAGGCAUUCCCACUUCUGAUCGGACUGAUGCUUUUCAGUGCGCGAGGAGCUUCGAACCUGGCAGGCUCAGUAUAUGCGGUGGGCUAUUGGACGUUGGAAAUACCCAAACCCAACUGGGCCCCUUAUCAUGUACAGCACACAAAUUACGCAAAGCAGCAUCCAUCUGCCGCACAAAUAGAGCUCCAACCCGAACCGGCGCUCUGCCAUUGUUCUGGCCGUUCGCCGCCCCUCCCGGGGUAAUUCAUGUGCCCCGCUACUCUGCUCACCCGUCACUGGCUAUUCACUUAAACCUGAAACAUUUCCAUGCGCACAAAGGCUUCAAACAUGGCCGUGACAAAGGAAAGGAUUUCUGCGUUCCUAUUCUUUUCCUCCUCUCUGUCUUUCUCCUUUCUUCAAGACAUUGUGUUGUUUAAUUGGUUGUGCUUGGUAAUUUUGUCUCUUGUCUUCUCCCAUACUGAGUGAUUGUGCGGGGACGGACGUUUGCUUUGACUGGAUCGGACAGGAGCGGGCUCCCUCCCGUAUGCUGGGAGCCGUCUACCUUUGUUAGGUACGCGGAGUUCGGUUCGGGCUCUGUGUGUGGUAAGGUUUGGGAAUCCUGCACGGAUGUCGUGGGAAUGCCGAGGAAACGUCCCUCCUCAUGCCGCUGAAUGACUGAGAUGACCCCUCCGUGACGUGCUCAAUGAAUUCAUAUCUCCGGUCUUGCUGUGCAGGGCUGCUGGCUGAAAGAGCAUCAAGGUUAACAGUCUAUGGAGAGAGUGGAAAAGCAGAAGAGGAUGAAGGAGAGUAAGGGAAAACGACGGUGGCUUUGUCUGUACACAAGAGAAGGUGUGUGUAUGUGUGCUUCAGUGCAUGUGUGUGCAUUUGAGACAGAGAGGGAGGGAAAAAAAUAGGUUCAGUGGGUUUAUUACCUGGAGUCAGACAUAAGCUCAUCUCAGCCAAUCCUGUAGCGCCUCUUUAUUGUACAGCUCUGAGGUUGUGUAAUACACUUUUCAGCCAGAGCUGGGAUUCUUUGUUCACUGCACCUGGGAUUCUGCAGGCUUUGUUCUACACAUUUAAUAUAUGUUUUACAACUUAUAAAACCCCCCAAAACCCCUAUUUUCCAUCCUUAUU